UUGAGAAGAAUGUUCUUCAUGCCGCCUGGCAGGGAACCAGUGAACUAUUAACACUUCCAGUCUCUGUUUGGUGGCUGCUGCCAGCCGAGCUGAAUCAUGGUAACAGAUUUGACACCGCAUGUUAUUAGCCAUUAUCCAUCCUUUGUUUGUUUUCUUUUAUGUCAAGUGGAGAUUAACAUGAGGAAAGAGUUGAAAGCCACCGAUGGACCAUAGCCAGGGCGUACGGAUAUCUUUAUGUGGAGGAAAAAUAAACACGAGGAUUCUGUCCACUGACAAACACUUGGACGAAGUUGCUGGUGACUGAUAAGACUGGAGAGAUAGGCUCUGUGACGACUGAGAGGACUUCAAGGAUGACAACUGUGUGGUCGAUCUGUUGACAUACGUACCUGCAACCUCUUACAUCAAUUUCCCGGAGGAAUUUUCUUGGCUCAGUCUCCUUCAGCUGCUGAAACAGUUAACACGUUUUCGGUAGUUACAUAAAGAGAUUCUCUCACUUGGGAUAUUCUUCUGCCAAUCCCAAUUUUCUGCGGCCUGUUGAUUUUGAUCACUUUUAAAUGAAACCCACACUGGCCUUAGUAAUCAUAAUGUCAUUUGCAAUUUCCCACAAAACACAUUUAUCCGCUAAGUAGCACAUUGAAAAAAGGAACUCCCUAUGUACUCUUCCCUGCAAAAAGGCCUAAUCGGAUUACUUCAUCAUGAACCUCCAAGCAGGGGUUCUUGUAAGAGGUCUGCGAGAGAAAGAGACAAUAGCGCGGCCUGCUCACAGCUGACUCUCAUAAUGCGAGUGAAGAAGAGACACUCAAUGUAGCACGCGAAGGGCAGGAGCAAAAUCGCCCCCGGGCUUCUCCUCAAAGAGACCAGUCAGAGUGGAUAAAAACCAACGAAUUCAACCAAGUGACCUAUGAAUGCUGAAAUGUUUGAUAGAAUAACAAGACGAUCUACAUUCUGUUUCAUGUUAAGAAAAUUGAAUCCAAAGAUUCAUGUUUUCUAACCAAGUCUCCGCAUUUGGAGCUAUGGACCUUUCUUGUCAAACGGUAAACAACAAAUUAAAAAACAAUUUUCAGCGCGCCAAGAACA